rnacentral:rRNA from 1 species
CGCGUGGAGAACCUGCCGUAUACUGGGGGAUAACACUUAGAAAUAGGUGCUAAUACCGCAUAAGCGCACAGCUUCGCAUGAAGCAGUGUGGAAAACAAAAAGCUAAAGCUUUUGGUGGUAUACGAUGGAUCCGCGUCUGAUUAGCUAGUUGGCGGGGUAAAGGCCCACCAAGGCGACGAUCAGUAGCCGGCCUGAGAGGGUGAACGGCCACAUUGGGACUGAGACACGGCCCAAACUCCUACGGGAGGCAGCAG